UAUUUCAUGUUAUUCUCAUCUUGCUAGCAUGGUUUCUGAAAAGUCUUAUGUAAUACUUACCCUUCUUCUACAAAUAAGGUGUCUCCUCUCCAGCUUCUUUGAAGAUUUCCUCUUUGUUUUUUAUUUUCUGCAGUUUGAAUAUGAUAUACUUAGGUAUACCUAGGUAUACUUUUAUCCUCCUUGGUGUCCUGUGAAUUUCCUGGAUCAUGGUUUGGUGUUUGUCAUUACUUUUGGAAAGCUCUCAUCUUAAUAUAAUUAAGGUGUGACAGGAAGACUAGAAGUGGCUGGAACUGGUUUUCAGGGUAAGGGGUUGUUCUGGAUAUCAAGUCUGAGGAAUCUAAGGACAAUUGUUGAUUUUCACAUUCUUGCUGUGAGGACAGGAGAGACAACUUCUGCACUCUUUACAUGUUGGACCAGAAACCACCUACCACCUUCUUUUGUACAACUGUGAGCUGAAAACAUUUUGCACUUUUUAAAUGGUUGAAAAGAACCAAAAGAGACUAUUAUUUUAUAACUAGAAAAAAUUACAUGAAUAUCAAGUUUUAGGACUCAUCAUUAAAUUUUAUUGGAAUACAGCCAUGCUCAUUUAUUUAUACGCUGCUUAUGGGUGCUUUCAUGCUGCACAGGCAAUUUGAAUAGUUUUGACAGAGACCUUAAGACCCACAAUGCCCCAAACAUUUAUUAUCUGGCUCUAUCCAGAGGAAAAAAAAAAUCCAAUCCCUGCUCCCUGUCUCUUAAUAUUUCUUUAUAUUUUUUAAUCUCCUUUUCUCUCUGUGCUACAUUCUCAGUAAUUGUGUUAGAUUUACUUUCCAGUUUACUAUGACCUCCUUAGCCACAUCUAAUUUGCUGAUUUAGUCAUCAUUUUUCCCCUUUUCUUCAACAAUUUCAUUUAAAAUUUCUAGCAUGGUAUUUUAUUCUUUUUCUGAUCUAUACUACAGGUUUUGAUCAUCUCUUAUUGCUUACUCAUUUUUGUGAUACCAUCUUUCAGUGCAUGAGGCAUUUCAUGUAUUUUCAUUUUAUAUUCUGUAUCUGAUAAUUCUGUUGUAUGAAUCUUAUGAGGUCUAAAUUGGAUAUUGCUGCUUCUGCCACUGAUGCUGGUUCAUUUCCUUAUGUAUUUGAUGAUCUUUGAUUGUGAGCUCAGAUUUAGUAGAUCAAGCCUGUGAUCCUACCUUAAGGGUCUGUCCAGAGAGGGUUUCAUUCUGCUGUAAACCAGGAGAUGACUGUCACCUGGAGCAUGAGAGCCUUCUUUCAAUUUCUCUGACUUAAUCUGAGAGUCUCAGGUCCAAUUCUUCAGUCUUUCUCUGUUGACCCAAGACUUUUUCCCCCUUAAUUCCAGCAUCAGUAUUGGCAAUUAAAUGGGUAACUGUCUUCGGGCAUACCUGGCUUCCCCAUGUGCAUGCUCCUCCCAUUUUUGUAAAUAAAGUUUUUUAUUCUUUUGGUCAUUCGGACUUUCCUGUAAUCUCAGCAAAAUGAUAAAAUAAUUUUUUUUCCUGUGCAAUCUCACAGUUUUAUAAAAGGAGGGUUUCCUGGUUAUCUAAUCUGCCAUGUUGCUAGGGUGGGAGUCCUAUCCAGUUCUUUAUUUUACCCUCAUGACUAAUUAUGGUCUCUACUUGCUGGUUUAUCUCCUUCCCCAGACCAGGUAAGGGAAUUGUUUUCUAUACUCUCUACUUUCCCCUUUCUUUUGUGACAGCCCCGUGCCUCCCCUUGUCUUCAUUUUAUCCCCUUGACAGAUACCCAAACUUGGAGUCGACAAUGACAGUAUCUUCUCUUUGACCAAGGAGACACUCAUUCCUUGGUUUCUUGUCAAGGACAGAAUUUAGUAGUGACUCUUUUCAAGCACCUUGGGUCUCCUGCCUCCCAUUUCUAAACAUAUCCAGCCUCUAUUCUCAGCCCUAACGCACUUAAACAUGAUCUCUUUGUUGGCAUGGUUUAGUUUUUAUUUACUGAUGUCAUUAUUUCAGGUCCCUCCUGUGAAACUGCAAUGUUCUUUAUUGCUCUUUGGGAUCCCAGAGUAUGGCUUAAAGCUAAAUGCUUUUCUUCCUCAGUUUACAUCACUGCCCACAUAUCGCUCUGUCAUUUUUAGAUUGAUUAGUUCCUUCUGCAGUUGUUGCCAUUAGUUAUGAAUGGCUUUAGAAGAACAGAUGGGGCAUAUGAAAAUACUCUGUAAACUAUAAAGGCCUGCACAAUGCUGAGGAUGAUUUUGGGAUGAGUAUAGUUAAGGCUUCAGCUGAGGCAAGUGCAUCUGACUUUGAUUAUUUCGAAAAACUGUCUUAAAGGCUUCUGAAGCUGAAGUGGUCUCCACAGGAAGAGAUGUCUGAGUCUUUCCAGGGGGUAAAAGAACAUCCUAUUUAGGAACAUGCACUUAGGAAAUGUGGUGUGGAAGAGUAGGAUGAAUUAGAGUGCUAGUGGACAAUCUGGAUGGGAAACUUCCAGAAGCUAUGUUAAUUCAAAAUGAUGAAUUAACCAUGACAGCCAGGCUAUGGUUCCAGGGCUAAAACUAGUAAGAGGUAGGUUUCUGAUGCGUAUGCUGCAUACAGGAACUAAACCCCAGGGAUAGAGCCAAUAGAGCCUUGGCCUAGGAUUCUAGAGAAUUUUUUUUUCCUGAUGAAAAAAAUUGCUUGCUGUACUGUCAUUUGAUGAAACCAGUUCCUUGUUAUAAGGUUGCCUUCCAGCUCAAAUUCCGGGAUUUUAUCAUCAUUACCAGUUGACAUAGCUUUGUCUGAUUGAAACACUAGGACUUGAUUAAUGGUUUGCUUUGUUUCUCUUAAUUCCCUGGGUUCUAAUUCCCAUUUUUCUGUGUUCCUGACUUGCAUGCAGUCAGUCCCUGAAGGUGAUGUUGGAAAAAGAAGACACAGCCUCCUUUUCCUCCAGGAUGUAAUUCCACUUAUUCCAUUAUACAGUAUAUACCCAAGUCCCGAAACCUCCCGACAGAAGCACAGCUGGACUUUGCAGUUUUGUUCCUGAGGCUCAUCACUGAUAACAUGGGGCUUUGUCCCUUAUGUUUCCCAUAGCACUUCUCAGGUACUUCAUCAGAAGGAACUCCAGAACUUUUGGAUAGUGUUCCUCACACACACAAAAAGCAUAAUUGUAAUUCCUAGUAUUAGAAACAUUUCAGAAUAUUAUAAUAAAUUGCUCCAUUUGUCUUUCAACCUUUAAGUCCUAGAUUUAAGGGCACAAUGCAAAGCCUUCUUUGUGCAUUCUAUGGAUCACCCCAACUUGCCGUUACAAAUGUUAUUUCUUUUAACUUCUGAUGGACUCCUGGCUGAUUCAUUCUCAAGAGCCAGUGUAGGAAUUCUCACUAAAUAGCCCGAUGCAUGGCCUACCAUUUACACUCCUCGUCUUCCUUCAUGAUAUCAAGGUUGCUGUCCUGGUCUAGAUAAAGGCUCCCUAGUUCCUGAGAUCCUAGAAAAUGAAUCCGUUGUUGUAUUCACGUUUGAGAAUGGGAAAUCUACUCACAUGGGAAAUCUGCAACUAUUCCUGCACCUGGAUGCCUAGGUCCAGGACUGGGAAUUGCCCCCACACCACCUGAUUAGGAUCUCCCAUUUUGUAAAGCUCUUUGGUAGUAAGGCUACAU